UAGGUUAACGAGGCGAACCGGGGGAACUGAAACAUCUAAGUACCCCGAGGAAAAGAAAUCAACCGAGAUUCCCCCAGUAGCGGCGAGCGAACGGGGAGCAGCCCGGAGUCUGAAUCAGCUUGUGUGUUAGUGGAACGGUCUGGAAAGUCCGACGGUACAGGGUGAUAGUCCCGUACACGAAAACACACUUGCUGUGAACUCGAAGAGUAGGGCGGGACACGUGGUAUCCUGUCUGAAUAUGGGGGGACCAUCCUCCAAGGCUAAAUACUCCUGACUGACCGAUAGUGAACCAGUACCGUGAGGGAAAGGCGAAAAGAACCCCGGCGAGGGGAGUGAAAAAGAACCUGAAACCGUGUACGUACAAGCAGUGGGAGCCUCUUUAUGGGGUGACUGCGUACCUUUUGUAUAAUGGGUCAGCGACUUAUAUUCUGUAGCAAGGUUAACCGUAUAGGGGAGCCGAAGGGAAACCGAGUCUUAACUGGGCGUUAAGUUGCAGGGUAUAGACCCGAAACCCGGUGAUCUAGCCAUGGGCAGGUUGAAGGUUGGGUAACACUAACUGGAGGACCGAACCGACUAAUGUUGAAAAAUUAGCGGAUGACCUGUGGCUGGGGGUGAAAGGCCAAUCAAACCGGGAGAUAGCUGGUUCUCCCCGAAAGCUAUUUAGGUAGCGCCUCGUGAACUCAUCUUCGGGGGUAGAGCACUGUUUCGGCUAGGGGGCCAUCCCGGCUUACCAACCCGAUGCAAACUACGAAUACCGAAGAAUGUUAUCACGGGAGACACACGGCGGGUGCUAACGUCCGUCGUGAAGAGGGAAACAACCCAGACCGCCAGCUAAGGUCCCAAAGUCAUGGUUAAGUGGGAAACGAUGUGGGAAGGCACAGACAGCCAGGAUGUUGGCUUAGAAGCAGCCAUCAUUUAAAGAAAGCGUAAUAGCUCACUGGUCGAGUCGGCCUGCGCGGAAGAUGUAACGGGGCUAAACCAUGCACCGAAGCUGCGGCAGCGACACUAUGUGUUGUUGGGUAGGGGAGCGUUCUGUAAGCCGUUGAAGGUGUGCUGUGAGGCAUGCUGGAGGUAUCAGAAGUGCGAAUGCUGACAUAAGUAACGAUAAAGCGGGUGAAAAGCCCGCUCGCCGGAAGACCAAGGGUUCCUGUCCAACGUUAAUCGGGGCAGGGUGAGUCGACCCCUAAGGCGAGGCCGAAAGGCGUAGUCGAUGGGAAACAGGUUAAUAUUCCUGUACUUGGUGUUACUGCGAAGGGGGGACGGAGAAGGCUAUGUCAGCCGGGCGACGGUUGUCCCGGUUUAAGCAUGUAGGCGGAGGUUCCAGGUAAAUCCGGUACCUUAUUAACGCUGAGGUGUGAUGACGAGGCACUACGGUGCUGAAGUGAUAAAUGCCCUGCUUCCAGGAAAAGCCUCUAAGCAUCAGGUAACACGAAAUCGUACCCCAAACCGACACAGGUGGUCAGGUAGAGAAUACCAAGGCGCUUGAGAGAACUCGGGUGAAGGAACUAGGCAAAAUGGUGCCGUAACUUCGGGAGAAGG
rnacentral:rRNA from 1 species